rnacentral:rRNA from 1 species
GGACUACUGGGGUAUCUAAUCCCGUUCGCUCCCCUGGCUUUCGUGUCUCAGCGUCAGCGCGGCCCCAGCGAGCUGUUUUCACCUUCGGCGUUCCAGACGAUAUCUACGCAUUUCACCGCUCCACCGUCUGUUCCGCUCGCCCCUGGCCGGCUCAAGACAACCAGUAUACCCAGCGGUUCCACGGUUGAGCCGUGGGAUUUCACAAGGUACUUGAUCGCCCGCCUACACACGCUUUAAGCCCAGUGAUUCCGCCUAACGCUCGGCACCUCUGUCUUACCGCGGCGGCUGGCAC